GAGCAGACUACAUAGCAGGGUAUGUGGGGUAGGACUGGGGCUUGGACCAGGCCAGGUGGAAUGCAGUGGGCUUUGCUCUCGUUCUUAGUGCUUGUUUUUGCUCAGGAGGGGCAAGGUGGUGAAGCUGGUGAACGAAUGGCUGCAGAUGAGGUUUGCGGAGCAAGAGGUCCUGCAGGUCUUCUGUGACACCCAUGAAGCUGUAGCGAGGUUGCCUCAGUGUAAAACACGAGAAAUGCACAGAGAUCUGCAGGGGAGAUGUGGCAGAAUGUAUCUGACGAAUGAUUUGCGGUGUCUUUCUGCCACCCAAAACACUCCUGAUAAUGGCGUAGCUGAGAAAAAGUGUGCUGUCGAUGCGUUUCCUGGACUCAGAUGAAAAGGAUGGCUGCAGAGAUGUUGGCCUUGAGAGCUGCAACUGAAAAGGACGCUUGUGGUCUGAUGUCCAGCCUGCUCCCACAUGCUCAGACGAGCCAAGUUUGCAAGGCCUGGCUCUUGGUUGGUGAGUUGUGCCCAAGGUCAGGGAUUUGAUUCUUCUGGGCUUGGAGAGAUGUUUUCCAGUUGCACGUUGUAUUAUUUUUGUGGCGUUGACCUCCUGAGCGCCAGCCCUAGGUGGGGAUCCAAGUACUAACACAGUAGGGGUGGUUUAGCUAGAUGCUAACUUUGACAGGAAAUGCAGUGCCCAGGGCUGCACGCACUUGUGACAGCUGUGAGUGUAAGGAAAGGCAUGUGGUGGGUGAGGGCUUUGGUGGGUGGGCAUCACCGUGCUGAAGUGCAGGCAGCCGUUGUGUUUGCAGGCAGGCAGAUCGAUGGGGAUUGGAGGCUGUUUCAGCCUUGCAGCUCUUGGCUGUUGCUCUGAGAGUGGAGGAUCUUUCCGUGAGAGAACUACCAGCAGCAGGGAUCCCGUGCGUGGGCUUGGAGCCCUUUCAGGCAAAGCAGGUGGAUUAGUUUGUGGGCUGGGAGCGGUUUGGAGUUAAGGCAGCAGGCUUUGCCGAAAGCAGAACGACCUGUGGGCCCGGUGUCCCAACAGGUAGGAAGUGACCAAGAGCUGGAGACAAGGGCACCUUGAGCAGCCCUCUUGAGGGGAAUCCUCCGUGUGAACAGAGGCCCAGAAGAAGAGAGUAGCUUGUCCCUGUGUUGACGCGGUAAGGUUUUCCUUCCUGACCUGUUCCCUCUCAGGUGGUGUGUCAGUCUUCCCUGGUGUGCCUACGGCUGUGAAAUGUGCUCUACGGGAAGUGCUGACAUUUUGCAUUUGACCUUGUCUCUCAUGUUGUUUUAAAGCACCAUCUUAGAGGCAACCUUGAUUCCUACAGCCCUGAGCUUUGUGCCACGAGAGCUCUCCCGCU
rnacentral:lncRNA from 1 species